GCCCCUUUAGCUCAGUCGGUAGAGCGUCUCACUCGUAAUGAGAAGGUCUACGGUUCGAUUCCGUAAAGGGGCU
rnacentral:tRNA from 4 species